rnacentral:rRNA from 1 species
UUCCGGUUGAUCCUGCCGGACCCGACUGCUAUCAGAGUAGGACUAAGCCAUGCGAGUCGGCGUAGCAAUGCGUGGCGAACGGCUCAGUAACACGUAGUCAACAUGCCCAAGGGACGUGGAUAACCUCGGGAAACUGAGAAUAAACCACGAUAGGUCAUGAUUUCUGGAAUGGAUCAUGGCUCAAAUCUACAUGGCCCCUGGAUUGGACUGCGGCCGAUCAGGCAGUUGGUGAGGUAAAGGCCCACCAAACCUAUAACCGGUACGGGCUCUGAGAGGAGAAGCCCGGAGAUGGGCACUGAGACAAGGGCCCAGGCCCUAUGGGGCGCAGCAGGCGCGAAACCUCUGCAAUAGGCGAAAGCCUGACAGGGUUACUCUGAGUGAUUUCCGCUAAGGGGAUCUUUUGGCACCUCUAAAAACGGUGCAGAAUAAGGGGUGGGCAAGUCUGGUGUCAGCCGCCGCGGUAAUACCAGCACCCCGAGUGGUCGGGACGAUUAUUGGGCCUAAAGCAUCCGUAGCCGGUUCUGCAAGUCUUCCGUUAAAUCCAGCCGCUCAACGGAUGGGCCGCGGAGGAUACUACAGGACUAGGAGGCGGGAGAGGCAAGCGGUACUCAGUGGGUAGGGGUAAAAUCCUUUGAUCCAUUGAAGACCACCAGUGGCGAAGGCGGCUUGCCAGAACGCGCUCGACGGUGAGGGAUGAAAGCUGGGGGAGCAAACCGGAUUAGAUACCCGGGUAGUCCCAG